AGGUUCAAAUUCUAAAUUUCGCUCCCAUAACAAUUAGAGUUUGUGGAUGCAUGUAUCUAAGGCAUAUGGAUGAUGGCAUUUAAUAUACACCAAAGCACAAGAGAGCUUUCCUGCAUCGAAAAAGCCAUUCUUUAUUCUAAUUUGUUUCCAAAAAAUUGUGCUACAUACACCAAAGCACAAAAAAUGUCAAAAGUCGUGCAACACAUGGUUGUAUGUACAAAAGAGAGCUUUCCAAUGAAUAGAUGUGCUAGCAUAUUUGUUCUAAUCCAUUUAUGUGUUAUUCAAUGUAGCCUGACGCCUUGACCAAUAGAACACUGAUCUCUUUGUUCCCUUGCUUCUACUAAUUGUAUUUGCUUGCAACCUUUCACUAAUGAGUUCGAAUCUUCUUUCUUUAAAUUCACUACAUGCUCCGGUCUUAAAUGUCUCUCACCCCAUUAACAACACCACCAUCAACAACAUCCAUGGCAUGUAUGAACCUAAGCUUUAAUUUGAUUACAUGGUUUUCAGUUUUUUUUCAUUUGUUUUUUUUUCUUCUCUACCAAAUUUCUUGCUUUCUUUUUGUGAUCUGGGUGUUAUGCUAUGUGAGUUGGGAUCGACCGCACACGGAGGAUUUUGAUGAUGAUAAGGUAUUUAAAGUAUAUUAGGGAUUUUGAUUUCAAAUUUUGUUCACAUUUUCUAUUCCUUUUCAGGAUUUUUCGUAUUUUUAGGGAGAAAAUCUGAAUCUGAGAAUUAGGCUGUUGAUGAGUAUUUUAAUCAAAACUUGCUGUGAUUGGAAUGAUGUUAAUAAGUGUUGAAAAUGUAGACAGCAGACGCGCAGAUCAAGGCAUAACUGAAGGAGCUGUGUUGGCUGUUCUCACAAUCUUGCACUCAAUCAAUUUGAGGUCGUUGUUGACAAAUUAUGUUUAACGUAACUCAUGGUGUGAAUGAACUUAACAACGCUUAUAAUAUGAAAUUCGAUGCGGAUUACAUUCGUA